AUUGAACGCUGGCGGCAGGCCUAACACAUGCAAGUCGAGCGGAGAGGGGGACGGGUGGGUAAUGACUAGGAAGAUGCCUGGUAGUGGGGGAUAACGUCCGGCACCGGGCGCUAAUACCGCAUACUAUCAGACGAGCCUGGGUUGGAUUAGCUAGUUCGUGGGGUAAAGGCCUACCAAGGCGACGAUCCGUAACUGGUCUGAGAGGAUGAUCAGUCAAACUGGAAAGGAGACAAGGUCCAAACUCCUACGGGAGGCAGCAGUGGGGAAUAUUGGACAAUGGGCGAAAGCCGGAUCCAGCCAUGCCGCGUGGGUGAAGAAGGCCUUCGGGUUGUAAAGCACUUUAAGGUGGGAGGUGUUACCAACAGAAGAAGCACCGGCUAACUUCGUGCCAGCAGCCGCGGUAAUAC
rnacentral:rRNA from 1 species